rnacentral:rRNA from 1 species
GACGAACGCUGGCGGCGUGCUUAACACAUGCAAGUCGAACGCUGAAGCACCAGCUUGCUGGUGUGGAUGAGUGGCGAACGGGUGAGUAAUACGUGAGUAACCUGCCCUUGACUCUGGGAUAAGCCCGGGAAACUGGGUCUAAUACUGGAUGCUACAUCUCACCGCAUGGUUGUGUGUGGAAAGGGUUUACUGGUCUUGGAUGGUAUAACGGCCUAUCAGCUUGUUGGUGAGGUAUUGGCUCACCAAGGCGACGACGGGUAGCCGGCCUGGGAGGGUGACCGGCCAAACUGGGACUGAGACAAGGCCCAGACUGCUAAGGGAGGCAGCAGUGGGGAAUAUUGCACAAUGGGCGAAAGCCGGAUGCAGCGACGCCGCGUGAGGGAUGACGGCCUUCGGGUUGUAAAACUCUUUCAGCAGGGAAGAAGCCACAAGUGACGGUACCUGCAGAAGAAGCGCCGGCUAACUACGUG